rnacentral:tRNA from 1 species
GGGGUUGUGGCUCAGCGGUAGAGUGCUCGUCUAGCAUGUGCGAGGGCCCUGGGUUCGAUCCUCAGCACCACA